AACACAUGCAAGUCGAACGCUUGUCGGGCUUCGGUCCGGCGGGAGUGGCGCACGGGUGAGUAGCGCGUGGGAACCUGCCCUGUUGUGGGGGAUAACCGAGGGAAACUUCGGCUAAUACCGCAUGCGCCCGCGGAGUUGAUCUGCGGGGAAAGAUUUAUCGCAGCAGGAGGGGCCCGCGUCGGAUUAGCUGGUUGGCGGGGUAACGGCCCACCAAGGCGAUGAUCCGUAGCUGGUCUGAGAGGAUGAUCAGCCACACUGGGACUGAGACACGGCCCAGACUCCUACGGGAGGCAGCAGUGGGGAAUAUUGGACAAUGGGGGCAACCCUGAUCCAGCAAUGCCGCGUGAGUGAUGAAGGCCUUCGGGUUGUAAAGCUCUUUCGCCCGCGACGAUGAUGACGGUAGCGGGAGAAGAAGCCCCGGCUAACUUCGUGCCAGCAGCCGCGGUAAUACGAAGGGGGCGAGCGUNGUUCGGAAUCACUGGGCGUAAAGGGCGCGUAAGC
rnacentral:rRNA from 1 species